GGGUUUUCAUUUUUAAUUUUGGUUUUGUUAUUUUUGUGAAAAAAAAUGAAUGAAAUUUUUA
rnacentral:ribozyme from 1 species